CACAGUGUAACUUAAUAUAAAGUAUCUGGCCUACACCCAGAAGAUUCCACCAAAUGGACACUUUGA
rnacentral:tRNA from 1 species